rnacentral:rRNA from 1 species
AGUGAACGCUGGCGGCAGGCCUAAUACAUGCAAGUCGAACGGCAGCACAGCAGAGCUUGCUCUGUGGGUGGCGAGUGGCGGACGGGUGAGGAAUACGUGGGAAUCUGCCCAGUCGUGGGGGAUGACGUAGGGAAACUUACGCUAAUACCGCAUGCGCCCUUCGGGGGAAAGCCGGGACCUUCGGGCCUGGCGCGAUUGGAUGAGCCCACGUCGGAUUAGCUAGUUGGCGGGGUAAAGGCCCACCAAGGCGACGAUCCGUAGCUGGUCUGAGAGGAUGAUCAGCCACACUGGAACUGAGACACGGUCCAGACUCCUACGGGAGGCAGCAGUAGGGAAUAUUGGACAAUGGGCGCAAGCCUGAUCCAGCCAUGCCGCGUGAGUGAAGAAGGCCCUCGGGUUGUAAAGCUCUUUUGUCCGGAAUGAAAAGCGCCGGGUUAAUACCCUGGUGUCCUGACGGUACCGGAAGAAUAAGCACCGGCUAAACUUCGUGCCAGCAGCCGACGG